rnacentral:rRNA from 1 species
AUGCCGGCCACGAAGACGGUGUCGACGUGCACGCCGGUGAAAGUGGAGGGCGUCCACGUGUUCAAGAUCCGCCGGUACAGCCAUCACAAGGGCAUGGGCAUCGGCAAGGUCAUCGGGUCCGGCUCCUUUUCCGUCGGGGGCCAUGAGUGGGAAAUCCGCUUCUAUCCUGAUGGUGAUGGGCAACACAACGAAGAUCACAUCGCAAUUUACCUGGAGCUGUUGAGCAAGGACGCCAGGGUCCACACAUCCUGCGACCUCAGGCUGGUCGACGGCGAAGGGUUGCUGUGUUCCGUGCACAAGACAGAGCCGAGGAUGUUCUGCCAGAACAUGGAGAGCAGGUUUGCUCCACCCAUCGGCACUCAUUUCAUAAAAAAGGGGCGAGUUCGAAGCAUCGGUUACCUUCACGACGACGGCCUCAAGAUCAACUGCGCCAUCACAGUCAUCAAAGAACCUCGGGUCUCUAAAAUAAAACUACCCCCUAGAAUCGAGGUGCCGCCUUCCGAUAUCAUCGUGCAUCUCGGCAGGCUGUUAGAAGCAAAGGAGAAGGCAGAUGUCACAUUCAGUGUUGCAGGGGAGACUUUCACGGCACACAGGAUCAUUCUCGCCAUGCGGUCGCCUGUGUUUGAAGCGGAGCUCUAUGGGCCGAUGAGGGAGACGAGGGCACAGCUCGUAACCAUCGAAGAGAUACAGCCUGAUGUCUUCAAGGCACUUCUCUAUUUCAUCUACAGUGAUGCAUUGCCAGCUGCUUUUGAUGAUCUUGAGAGGGAAGGUCAUAUUGAAAUGGUUCGGCACUUGCUAGUGGCCGCGGAUCGAUAUGCCAUGGAGAGGCUAAAGCUGUUAUGUCAAAGCCUCCUUUGCGAGAAUAUUAACGUGCAGACCGUGGCAACCACGUUGGGCUUGGCUGAUCAACAUCACUGUGACGAGCUUAAGGAUGCUUGCAUUGAAUUUAUGUCCACUUCACAGGAUAUGGAUGCUGUGGUGGCAACCCCUGGUUAUGAAAAUCUCAAAAGAAAUCGCCCUUAUAUCUUGGUGGAUGUAUUGGAGAGGUCUAGUAAGCUUCGCAAAACAUAG